GACGAACGCUGGCGGCGUGCUUAACACAUGCAAGUCGAACGCUGAAGCUCAGCUUUUGUUGGGUGGAUGAGUGGCGAACGGGUGAGUAACACGUGAGUAACCUGCCUCCUUCUUUGGGAUAACGCCCGGAAACGGGUGCUAAUACUGGAUAUUCACUGGUCUUCGCAUGGGGGUUGGUGGAAAGGGUUUUUCUGGUGGGGGAUGGGCUCGCGGCCUAUCAGCUUGUUGGUGGGGUGAUGGCCUACCAGGGCUUUGACGGGUAGCCGGCCUGAGAGGGUGACCGGUCACAUUGGGACUGAGAUACGGCCCAGACUCCUACGGGAGGCAGCAGUGGGGAAUAUUGCACAAUGGGCGCAAGCCUGAUGCAGCGACGCCGCGUGAGGGAUGGAGGCCUUCGGGUUGUGAACCUCUUUCGCUCAUGGUCAAGCCGCAACAAUGGUUGUGGUGAGGGUAGUGGGUAAAGAAGCGCCGGCUAACUACGUG
rnacentral:rRNA from 1 species